rnacentral:rRNA from 1 species
GAUGAACGCUGGCGGCGUGCUUAACACAUGCAAGUCGAACGAUGAAGCCCAGCUUGCUGGGUGGGUUAGUGGCGAACGGGUGAGUAACACGUGGGUAACCUGCCCUUAACUCUUGGAUAAGCCUGGGAAACUGGGUCUAAUACCGGAUAGGAGCGCCUACCGCACGGUGGGGGUUGGAAAGAUUUUUCGGUUUUGGAUGGACUCGCGGCCUAUCAGCUUGUUGGUGAGGUAAUGGCUCACCAAGGCGACGACGGGUAGCCGGCCUGAGAGGGUGACCGGCCACACUGGGACUGAGACACGGCCCAGACUCCUACGGGAGGCAGCAGUGGGGAAUAUUGCACAAUGGGCGAAAGCCUGAUGCAGCGACGCCGCGUGAGGGAUGACGGCCUUCGGGUUGUAAACCUCUUUCAGUAGGGAAGAAGCGAAAGUGACGGUACCUGCAGAAGAAGCACCGGCUAACUACGUG